UGUUACACACAGCUGGGCAGCAGCUUCUUCAGUGGAGAGGUGAAACGGCCACUUGAGCUGGAGAUGCUGCCUGGGAAUGGAACAUCUUUGCCACAGCUGUAUGCUAUCCAAGUGGCCCAGUGACCUCCAGUGUUAUGAUCGAUCAAGCCUGCAACAGAAUGCAGAUCCAGAUCAAAACCCCUCAGUUUUCUUAGCAGAACCAAGCUCAACCACCUCUAAUUUCUAGAACUGUGCAAACAUAUGGUGCAAAGUUGGACAAUGCUAAGUGAAAAUCCAAGAAGCAGAAGUAGAAUUUUGCAUUAAAGACGAAAUCAGCAUUAUGUUUACCGUGUCCUAAUUUCAUUCAUUCAUGAACCUUGCAUCGUACCCGUUGGUAUUUAAGGUCUGAUACCAGUCAUACUGGAGAUGAAGCUACAUCACACAUUUCUGCCUUGCAUCCAGCUUACAGGCUCAUUCAGUUAGUAUGCCUGUCUUUGAUAUGUUUCUGGCAUGCAUGAGAACCGUGGAUAACACCACUUGCAUUAGUGUACCACUGACG
ensembl:lncRNA